CGUCCAUUUUUAGCGCGCGCGCGUGUAUUGAACACUAAACCAAUACUGCGAACCGAAACUAUUACACGGCGUGAGUGUGGAAGGUCAGCGGGAAUAUAAACUCUACAAACACACAGCUGUAAUUGGAAAUGCGAUUAUUAUGUAAUUAAAUUUUAUGCGAAGAGGUUUUGAGGUUAUUUGUGGGUUGUAUGGGUAUGGUAAGAGUAGAUAAUGUGUCGUAACUGAGGAGCGGGAGUGUUUGGAAGAGCGUCGGAGCUCGGCGAUGGCUACCGACUGACUGGAUAGAGUGGAAAGCGAAAAGAGUAUCAGGGGAUGUUGGCCGAGGGGAUACUACCCUUGAACCCCGCAGUGGCGUUGGCGUCGGGGACGGGAAUAGUGGGAAUGUACGCGUUGCCUUCUCUGCGAAUGGUUUCACGUUCAAUUCGUAGGAAUAUUGCAAAGUUUGAAGUUUUAGGGGACAUAAUACUCGUAGGUAACCUUAAAUUACUUUUGGAGAGAAAAAAUAUUGUUUUUUGGACAGGUUUCAUCAAUUUUAAGUUGAAUUGCGUUAAAAUUCGUGAUUUUACGUUAAAAAUGUCAUUUUUUGUCAUAAUUUCUAAAGUAAUACUCAUACUUUUAUCAAAUUUGUACUAAAAUAUAAAGAAUUAAUAACUU